rnacentral:rRNA from 1 species
CCUACGGGUGGCUGCAGUGGGGAAUAUUGGACAAUGGGGGGAACCCUGAACCAGCCAUGCCGCGUGUGUGAAGAAGGCCCUCGGGUUGUAAAGCACUUUCAGUGAGGAAGAACGCCUGGUGGUUAAUACCCAUCAGGAAAGACAUCACUCACAGAAGAAGCACCGGCUAACUCCGUGCCAGCAGCCGCGGUAAUACGGAGGGUGCGAGCGUUAAUCGGAAUUACUGGGCGUAAAGCGCGCGUAGGUGGCUUGAUAAGCCGGUUGUGAAAGCCCCGGGCUCAACCUGGGAACGGCAUCCGGAACUGUCAAGCUAGAGUGCAGGAGAGGAAGGUAGAAUUCCCGGUGUAGCGGUGAAAUGCGUAGAGAUCGGGAGGAAUACCAGUGGCGAAGGCGGCCUUCUGGACUGACACUGACACUGAGGUGCGAAAGCGUGGGUAGCAAACAGGAUUAGAUACCCCAGUAGUC